rnacentral:rRNA from 1 species
GACGAACGCUAGCGGGAUGCCUCAAACAUGCAAGUCGUACGCGAAAGGCCCUUCGGGGACGAGUAGAGUGGCGCACGGGUGCGUAACACGUAGCUAACGUACCCCUUCGCUGGGGAUAACUCCGGGAAACCGGAGCUAAUACCGAAUGAUCUGAUACGGUCUGCGGACUGUAUCGGUAAAGUCGCAAGACGCGAAGGGAUCGGGCUGCGGCCCAUUAGUUUGAUGGUGGGGUAACGGCCUACCAUGACUACGAUGGGUAGCUGGUCUGAGAGGAUGAUCAGUCACACUGGAACUGAAACACGGUCCAGACUCCCACGGGAGGCAGCAGUUGGGAAUAUUGGACAAUGGGGGAAACCCUGAUCCAGCAAUCCCGCGUGAGUGAUGAAGGCCUUCGGGUCGUAAAGCUCUUUCAGUAGGGAAGAAUAACUGACGGUACCUACAGAAGAAGCACCGGCUAAC